UACGUAGGUGGCAAGCGUUGUCCGGAUUUACUGGGCGUAAAGAGCGCGCAGGCGGUCGUGCAAGUCGCGUGUGAAAGCCCCCGGCUCAACUGGGGAGGGUCACGCGAUACUGCUCGACUUGAAGGCAGGAGAGGGAAGUGGAAUUCCCGGUGUAGUGGUGAAAUGCGUAGAUAUCGGGAGGAACACCAGUGGCGAAGGCGGCUCACUGGACCGGUACUGACGCUGAGGCGCGAAAGCUAGGGGAGCAAACAGG
rnacentral:rRNA from 1 species